UACGUAGGUAGCAAGCGUUGUCCGGAUUUACUGGGCGUAAAGAGCGCGCAGGCGGUCGUUCAAGUCGCGUGUGAAAGCCCCCGGCUCAACUGGGGAGGGUCACGCGAUACUGAUCGACUCGAAGGCAGGAGAGGGUAGUGGAAUUCCCGGUGUAGUGGUGAAAUGCGUAGAUAUCGGGAGGAACACCAGUGGCGAAGGCGACUACCUGGCCUGUUCUUGACGCUGAGGCGCGAAAGCUAGGGGAGCAAACGGG
rnacentral:rRNA from 1 species